GAAUGAGGAGCCUCAGCGCUUUCGGCGCCAUUUUCGAGUGAUGCCUGAUCUCAUCAAUCUAGCGGGAGAGACAGGAUAACCUGUCCGAGAGUAUAGCGCCACUAUGACUCCGCCGGAAAAAUUACUUUAAAAAUCGCCAAAAAUUACUUGGAGCAAAGGGCAGUCGGCGGAGCUUCGCCAAGGCUGGCGCAGUCGGUUUAAUAAUGAUAGAAUGAAGACCACAAUAAAAGAGACCUCUACUUAGCUCAGCAAUUCUUACCUUUCUUACCUAUUUGAUGAAGAUGUCUUUUGAAAGGUGUACUGCAAGGAACAAAAUGUUUGUAAAUUCUCCUUUUACCAAGGUGGAUAAUUACUGUACCUUCCUCAUGGAAAAAGUUUUAUUUAAAGUGUUAUUUCUCAUUGAAUACUAUCAAAAAGGAAAAAAAAAUGACCUAAACUUUUGAGAUAGAUUUGGCUCUAGGCCUACUCUAGGUGCGGUACUUCACUAUAGUUUAUAAAAGAUGGUCCCUGUCAGCAAAGAACUGUAACCUGUAUGAGAAUAUUAUACUAACAUACAAGAAACAAGUAGAGAAUAAUGGAAUGUAAACUCUGGCUUGCUAACUUAAGUGUGGUAGAAGCUUGAAGGAAAUGUGGACUUAAACUUAUCAGAGAAGACUUAUAAGAGGAUAUGAAAGGUGUAAAUUUUGAUACCACCAUUGCCGCCUUCCCCUCAAAAAAGGUGAGAACUGACUAAACUACUGGUACUUAGACCAUGUGGAGAAGGAACUGAAAAUGGAAACAGAAACACGUCUGUACAGAGCAGAGUGUCAGAUAAUAGCUCAUUUUAGUAGAGGGCAAUAAAUGCCACAUGAGAUGAUCACCUCAGCAGAAAACUGUAAGUAACUGGGGACUUACAGGAGAAUUGAACAGUUGUUUCUGCUGACUCAGUAAAAAGUCUUCAUUUUAUAAUUUGUGGCCUGCAUGCUUGUAAAUUAAAAUGCAUUGAGUUGUCAA
rnacentral:lncRNA from 1 species